rnacentral:rRNA from 1 species
AACGAACGCUGGCGGCAGGCUUAACACAUGCAAGUCGAACGGUUGUAGCAAUACAGCAGUGGCAGACGGGUGAGUAACACGUGGGAACCUUCCUAGGGGUACGGAACAACUCAGGGAAACUUGAGCUAAUACCGUAUACGUCCGUGAGGAGAAAGAUUUAUCGCCCUUAGACGGGCCCGCGUCGGAUUAGCUAGUUGGUGGGUAACGGCCUACCAAGGCGACGAUCCGUAGCUGAUCUUAGAGGAUGAUCAGCCACACUGGGACUGAGAUACGGCCCAGACUCCUACGGGAGGCAGCAGUGGGGAAUCUUGGACAAUGGGCGCAAGCCUGAUCCAGCCAUGCCGCGUGAGUGAAGAAGGUCUUCGGAUUGUAAAGCUCUUUUGCCAGGGACGAUAAUGACGGUACCUGGAGAAUAAGCCCCGGCAAACUUACGUGCCAGCAGCCGCGGUAAU